rnacentral:rRNA from 1 species
GACGAACGCUGGCGGCGUGCUUAACACAUGCAAGUCGAAUGGAAAGGCCCUGCUUUUGUGGGGUGCUCGAGUGGCGAACGGGUGAGUAACACGUGAGUAACCUGCCCUUGACUUUGGGAUAACUUCAGGAAACUGGGGCUAAUACCGGAUAGGAGCUCCUGCUGCAUGGUGGGGGUUGGAAAGUUUCGGCGGUUGGGGAUGGACUCGCGGCUUAUCAGCUUGUUGGUGGGGUAGUGGCUUACCAAGGCUUUGACGGGUAGCCGGCCUGAGAGGGUGACCGGCCACAUUGGGACUGAGAUACGGCCCAGACUCCUACGGGAGGCAGCAGUGGGGAAUAUUGCACAAUGGGCGGAGGCCUGAUGCAGCAACGCCGCGUGCGGGAUGACGGCCUUCGGGUUGUAAACCGCUUUCGCCUGUGACGAAGCGUGAGUGACGGUAAUGGGUAAAGAAGCACCGGCUAACUACGUG